GAGGCAAGUACAUCCUGCUCUGAGGGAAAGAGCAGUAGGAGGUAGUUUCCAAAUGAUAUCUGCGGCUCUCAUUCAAGAAAAGGACCCAGGAGUGGAAGACAGACGCUAGAUCUGAGCUGAUCUGUUUCAUUUGUUCCAGUUACCACACCACUUCUUGGCAAAAGAAGCUUGCCUGCGGUUUUUGCUGGAGUCACGAAGCACAGAGCUCUCAAAAGAGCCUGAAUCGUCCAUCAUCUUGGCUUUUCGUGCAUCCUUGAGCCUAUGUUAUAAAAAGUACAUGACUCUCCAUGUGUCUGCAUUGUCUAUCACAU
rnacentral:sRNA from 1 species